rnacentral:rRNA from 1 species
CAUCAUGCCCCUUAUGUUCUGGGCUACACACGUGCUACAAUGGCCGGUACAGACGGACGCAAAGCCGCGAGGUGGAGCAAAUCCUAAAAAGCCGGUCUCAGUUCGGAUUGCAGGCUGCAAUUCGCCUGCAUGAAGUCGGAAUCGCUAGUAAUCGCAGGUCAGCAUACUGCGGUGAAUACGUUCCCGGGCCUU